rnacentral:rRNA from 1 species
AUGGUGGGACGAGCGAUGGCCAGGGCCAGGGAGGUGACCGGCGGCAGCGAGGAGAUGGUGGCGGCGGUGGCGAGGGCGAUGAGCUGCCUCGGCACGGGGGUCGACAUGGCGGGCGACCUGCGGCUGAAGCACUGCAAGGCUGCGGAAGGGUGCCUCGUCGCCAGGAGCCGCGGGAAGGCGGCGGCGGUCCCCGUGCCCGGGAUCGGUGCGGUGCCCGACGUGCCGGCGGACGUCAUGUGCGGCAAGGGCAACCGGGUCAGGAUCAGGUCCGACGUGCUCGAGUUCAACAAGAUGACGGAGCUGUUCAACGGCCGGAGCUCGGUGGCGGGGAAGAUCCCGUCGGGGCUCUUCAACGCGUGCUUCGGCCUGGACGGCGGCUCCUGGGCGCAGGACGCCUCCAGCACCAAGUGCCUGGCGCUCGACGGCUACUUCAUCUCCCUCCUCGACCUCCGCCUCGACUGCCGGCCGCUCGCGCUCGCCGACCGCGUCGCCGCCGACGUGCCGGCCGCCUGGGACCCGUCAGCCAUAGCAAGUUUCAUCAAGAAGUACGGGACGCACAUCGUCGUCGGGGUGAGCGUGGGCGGCCAGGAUGUGGUCUACGUGAAGCAGGACAAGUCGUCGCUGCUACCGGAGUCCGACAUCAAGGAGCACCUAGAGAAGCUAGGCGACCAGCUCUUCACCGGGACAUGCCCCAUGCCUCCUUCACACUGCAAGUCCAGAGAUAACAAGACCAAGGUCCCUGAGGCCUUCAACGUGUUUGAUGGUCAAUUAACACAGCCGAGGGUUGAAGGAAUGACUAGUCAAGUCGCAUGCAAAGAGGGUGUGACGGUGAUACACUCCAAGAGGGGAGGGGACACGGCGGCGAGGAGCCACGCCGAGUGGCUGCUCACGGUGCCGGCAAAGCCGGACGCCAUCGGCUUCAAGCUUGUGCCCCUCACAUCCCUUCUCAAGGGAGUGUCAGGCUUGGGAUUCCUCUCUCAUGCCAUAAACCUCUACCUGAGAUACAAACCUCCAGUGGAAGAUUUGAGGUACUUCCUCGACUUCCAGCACCACAGAUCGUGGGCCCCUGUGCUCAGUGACCUACCCCUCGCUCUGUGUUCGAACCGGCAGGGCGCGAGCCAAGCCUUGCACUUCAGCCUUGUGGGAUCAAAGCUGCAUGUCAACUCAAACCAGGUUAUCAUUCCAAACUUGCCGGUCACCGGGAUGAGACUGCAUCUAGAGGGGAAGAAAAACAACAGGCUAGGCCUCCACCUGCAGCAUCUGGCGAGCACCCCAACGUUCAUCCAGGGACGGCGGGACAAGCCGCCGAUAUGGCGCGGGUCGGAGACGGUCUCCGACGAGCGGUACCACGAGCCGGUGCAGCGGCGGAUGUUCGCCCACGUCUGCACCGCGCCGGUGAAGUACGACCCCAACUGGUGCAGCGCGCACCGGCAGACCGCGUACAUCGUGUCCGGCGUGCAGCUGCACGUCAGGGCCCAUGACUCGACCACCGUGCUGCACCUCAGGCUCCUGUACACCGAGCUGGCAGGGUGCGCCGUGGUGCAGUCCAAAUGGGCGCACAACACGGCGAGGCUCUCAGGUAAAGGGAGCUUCCUGUCCAAGUCGUUAGGGGCGGCGGCGUCCUCGGGCUCCACUGAGAGAGACCGGCAGGAACCGGCGAGAGUCAACGUCGACUCCGGCGUGUUCGCCGGAGGGCCGCCGGUGCCCGUCGGCGACCAGAAGCUGCUCAAGUUUGUUGACACGUCUCAGGUUACCAUGGGGCCGCAGGACGCCCCUGGAUACUGGCUGGUCACAGGUGCAAAGCUUGAUGUUGACAAGGGGAAGAUCUCACUGCAUGUCAAGUUCUCACUGCUGGCUCCAGCUUCUUGA